rnacentral:rRNA from 1 species
AUUGAACGCUGGUGGAAUGCUUUACACAUGCAAGUCGAACGGCAGCACGGGAGCUUGCUCCUGGUGGCGAGUGGCGAACGGGUGAGUAAUAUAUCGGAACGUAUCCAAUAAUGGGGGAUAACUAGUCGAAAGAUUAGCUAAUACCGCAUACGCCCUGAGGGGGAAAGCUGGGGAUCUUCGGACCUAGCGUUAAUGGAGCGGCCGAUAUCUGAUUCGCUAGUAGGUGAGGUAAAGGCUCACCUAGGCGACGAUCAGUAGCUGGUCUGAGAGGACGACCAGCCACACUGGAACUGAGACACGGUCCAGAGUCCUACGGGAGGCAGCAGUGGGGAAUGUUGGACAAUGGGCGCAAGCCUGAUCCAGCCAUGCCGCGUGGGUGAAGAAGGCCUUCGGGUUGUAAAGCUCUUUCGCAAGGGAAGAAAACUUAACCUCUAACAUAGGUUGAGGCUGACGGUACCUUGAUAAGAAGCACCGGCUAACUACGUGCCAGCCGCCGCCGUAAUAC